GGGCCCGCACAAGCGGUGGAGCAUGUGGUUUAAUUCGACGCAACGCGAAGAACCUUACCAAGGCUUGACAUCUGCAGAAUCCCAAAGAGAUUUGGGAGUGCCCUUCGGGGAACUGUAAGACAGGUGGUGCAUGGUUGUCGUCAGCUCGUGUCGUGAGAUGUUGGGUUAAGUCCCGCAACGAGCGCAACCCCUAUAUUUAGUUACUAACGGGUAAUGCCGAGGACUCUAGAUAGACUGCCGGUGACAAACCGGAGGAAGGUGGGGAUGACGUCAAAUCAUCAUGCCCCUUAUGUCUUGGGCUACACACGUGCUACAAUGGGCGGUACAGACGGAAGCUAAGCCGUGAGGUGGAGCAAAUCCGAGAAAGCCGUUCCCAGUUCGGAUUGAUCUCUGCAACUCGAGAUCAUGAAGUCGGAAUCGCUAGUAAUCGCAGGUCAGCACACUGCGGUGAAUACGUUCCCGGGCCUU
rnacentral:rRNA from 1 species